AGAAAAAAGAUGAUAAGAAAGAAAGCGAUUUUCUCAGCCGAAAACGAAAAUAAAAAAGAGCUGAGGUGUGAUGAGUCCAUGUCUCUCUCACCUGUCUUUCUUUCUUGCCACAUUGUGUCUUAAACAAAGACCAGCCCACAAGUGUUGCUUUGAUUUCUCAUCGGUUACCUUCACUUUUUUCAUCUUUUCUUUUCUUGCAUGCUUUGAGAAUCUCAUCUAUACAUAUAACUCUCACACACAUUAACAACAGAGACGCUUCUCAUGGCUCCUUUAAGAGGAGGAUUAAAGAAAAAAAGAAAACUUGACAAAAAAACAGAAGGGAAUGCUUCUGCUUCUGCUUCUGGGUCUUCAGAGAAGGAAGCUUCUGUUGAUUGGUGGCAAGAGUAUUCCGAGAGGAUUAAUGGUUCUCAAUCCCCAUCAAGGGGUUUAGACAGAUUCCAAUCUGUUUUCAAGAUCUCUAGAAGAACCUUCAAUUAUAUCUGCUCACUUGUGGAGGAAAGUAUGAUGGUUAAGACGGGGGGUUUUUCAUUCACAAGUGGCAAGAAUUUGUCAUUACAUGAUCAAGUAGCUAUUGCUUUAAGAAGGCUGAGCUCUGGUGAUUCACUAAUGACGAUUGGUGAUUCAUGUGGGCUGCACCACUCAACAGUCUCUCAAGUGACAUGGCGCUUUGUUGAGGCUUUGGAAGAAAGGGGGAUUCAGCACCUGCAGUGGCCUUCAUCUGAAACAGAAAUUGCGAAAAUAAAAUCCAAGUUUCAGAAGAUGCAAGGCCUCCCUAAUUGCUGUGGUGUGGUUGAUACCACACAUGUAAUGAUGUGUUUGGCUUCCUCAGACCCCACAAGUAAUGUGUGGCUUGAUCAGGAGAAGAAUCACAGCAUGAUCUUGCAGGCAAUUGUGGACCCUGAAAUGAGGUUCCGAGACAUAGUCACUGGAUGGCCUGGGAAAAUGGAAGACUGGUUGGUCUUUCGGAGUUCAAAUUUCUACAAACUAUGUGAUAAAGGGGAGAGGUUGAAUGGGAAAAGAUUAGAGCUCUGUGAAGGAUCAGAAAUGGGAGAAUAUAUAAUCGGGGAUUCAGGUUUUCCUUUAUUGCCCUAUCUUAUUACUCCUUAUGAAGGAAAAGAGCUCCCUCAGUUCAAAGCCGAGUUCAAUAGGCGGCAUUCUGUGACGCAAAUGGUGGCACAAAGGGCACUGGCAAGAUUAAAAGAUACAUGGAAGAUCAUACAAGGAGUGAUGUGGAGACCUGACAAACAUAAGUUACCAAGGAUUAUUCUUGUUUGCUGCUUGCUGCAUAAUAUUGUUUUAGAUUUGGAAGAUGAGCUGGAGGAGGAAAUGCUUUUGCCUCAUGACCAUGAUUCAGGUUAUCACCAACAAAUUUGUGGAACCCUUGACAUAAAAGGUGUACAUUUGAGAGAUGAGCUCUCUCUCUAUUUGUCUAGAAAAUUGCCACCAGGCUUCUGAAACAAGAUUUCUCAGUGAAAAUUACAAAUAUGGAGUCAGUUUCUGUACAUGUAGGUACAUCAUUUUGACAGUUGGUGUAAUGCACUUAGAUUUACAAGAUUUGGUUAAGCGAUGACUGGAAAUGAAGUUCUCAGAAGAUGUUGAAGGAAGGAAACGAUAUGGUUGCUUUCGAAGGACCUGCUUUCUGAAACUUAGAAGAGAGGGUUUUGAAAGGUCAUGUUCUCCGGUGUUACUUAUCUUUUAAUUAUAGGGGAACCUGGCAUUUCGUGGAGCUAUCUUUUUUAUGAAACUUAUAAGAGAGGAUAUCUAAGGUUCUCGAGCCCUAAUGGACAAGUGGAAUUGAAUCAAGUAUUGUUAAGCUCAAAGUUGGCUCAAAAGGAUAGAUGUCGGGCUGAAGAUUGAGAAACUGAACGAGUCUUGAGUUGCAGGCUCUAUCUCAAGCUCCAGAUAGGAUUUGCUACUUUGAGCUCAGCUCGUGAAAGGCCUGAUAUUAUUGACAUGUAACUUUGGAGAGAACAAAUUAUAGCACGUGAGGUUCGCAUUAAAUUAUCCUGCAGAGUUGAAACC